rnacentral:rRNA from 1 species
UUGCCUCAGGAUGAACGCUGGCGGCGUGCCUAAUAGAUGCAAGUCGAACGAAGAUCUAGCUUGCUAGAUGGUUAGUGGCGAACGGGUGAGUAAUACAUAAAUAAUCUGCCCAUUGACUGGGAUAACUAUUGGAAACGAUAGCUAAUACCGGAUAGGUGAUUUGAAGGCAUCUUCGAAUCAUUAAAGUAGGGUCACUAGACCAAUGGAUGAGUUUAUGGCGCAUUAGUUAGUUGGCGGGGUAACGGCCCACCAAGACGAUGAUGCGUAGCCGACCUGAGAGGGUGACCGGCCACACUGGGACUGAGACACGGCCCAGACUCCUACGGGAGGCAGCAGUAGGGAAUUUUCGGCAAUGGGCGCAAGCCUGACCGAGCAACGCCGCGUGAGUGAUUAAGGCCUUCGGGUUGUAAAGCUCUGUUGUAUGGGAAGAACAUUCAGGAUAGGAAAUGAUCUUGAACUGACGGUACCUUACCAGAAAGCCACGGCUAACUACGUGCCAGCAGCCGCGGUCGUAGGUGGCAAGCGUUAUCCGGAAUUAUUGGGCGUAAAGGGUGCGUAGGCGGUUUAUUAAGUCUAUGGUGAAUGUGCGGGGCUCUACCC